AUGCAUCCCAAGCUGAACACAGUCAAGAGAUAGAGCAAGUUACAAUUGAACACAGCCUUCAGUUGCAGAAAGAUCAAGAUCGCAACACUCAUAAGCUGAAGAUACUUGCUGAUCAGCUGGAUUUUGUAAACAUGAAAGGGAGUCCA